rnacentral:rRNA from 2 species
UCCUACGGGAGGCAGCAGUAGGGAAUCUUCCGCAAUGGACGAAAGUCUGACGGAGCAACGCCGCGUGAGUUGAUGAAGGCUUUCGGGUCGUAAAACUCUGUUGUUAGGGAAGAACAAGUGCUAGUUGAAUAAGCUGGCACCUUGACGGUACCUAACCAGAAAGCCACGGCUAACUACGUGCCAGCAGCCGCGGUAAUACGUAGGUGGCAAGCGUUAUCCGGAAUUAUUGGGCGUAAAGCGCGCGCAGGUGGUUUCUUAAGUCUGAUGUGAAAGCCCACGGCUCAACCGUGGAGGGUCAUUGGAAACUGGGAGACUUGAGUGCAGAAGAGGAAAGUGGAAUUCCAUGUGUAGCGGUGAAAUGCGUAGAGAUAUGGAGGAACACCAGUGGCGAAGGCGACUUUCUGGUCUGUAACUGACACUGAGGCGCGAAAGCGUGGGGAGCAAACAGGAUUAGAUACCCUGGUAGUCCACGCCGUAAACGAUGAGUGCUAAGUGUUAGAGGGUUUCCGCCCUUUAGUGCUGAAGUUAACGCAUUAAGCACUCCGCCUGGGGAGUACGGCCGCAAGGCUGAAACUCAAAGGAAUUGACGGGGGCCCGCACAAGCGGUGGAGCAUGUGGUUUAAUUCGA